rnacentral:rRNA from 1 species
CCUACGGGAGGCAGCAGUGAGGAAUAUUGGUCAAUGGACGAGAGUCUGAACCAGCCAAGUAGCGUGAAGGAUGACUGCCCUAUGGGUUGUAAACUUCUUUUAUAUGGGAAUAAAAUGUUCCACGUGUGGGAUUUUGUAUGUACCAUAUGAAUAAGGAUCGGCUAACUCCGUGCCAGCAGCCGCGGUAAUACGGAGGAUCCGAGCGUUAUCCGGAUUUAUUGGGUUUAAAGGGAGCGUAGGUGGAUUGUUAAGUCAGUUGUGAAAGUUUGCGGCUCAACCGUAAAAUUGCAGUUGAAACUGGCAGUCUUGAGUACAGUAGAGGUGGGCGGAAUUCGUGGUGUAGCGGUGAAAUGCUUAGAUAUCACGAAGAACUCCGAUUGCGAAGGCAGUUCACUGGACUGCAACUGACACUGAGGCUCGAAAGUGUGGGUAUCAAACAGGAUUAGAUUCCCCUGUAGUC